ensembl:snoRNA SNORA55 Small nucleolar RNA SNORA55
GCACCCCAGCAAACCCUGUCCUCCAUUCAGUGUCGGUCAUGGGCAAUAAUGGUGCUAUAGUGACUCAAAGUGUAUCCAGACGGACCUCCCUCUCUAUUGGAGCCUGUCUCUACAACUUUGGCACAAAA